rnacentral:lncRNA from 10 species
AGGAGGCAGGAUUAGAUUGCAGCUCUGACUCAGAGCAGCGUGCGGAGGCUCGCAUUGUGAAUUUUAGCUCCAGAUAAACUUCAAGAACAAACCAGCAAUCCUGAGAGGACCCACAGACCCUCUGAAAAAAGCGGACUGUUCCUGCAACACCCAGGAGACACCCCAAAUACUAUGAAGAAUCUGAGGCACAAAGAGGUCAACUGGCUUGCCCAAGGGUACUUGGCAGAAGGUGAGCUCUGAUAUAGUGCUUUAGUGCACGGACUCAGAAAGUGGAUGAGCUAAGACAUUCAUGAAGCUGUGUAAGAGAGAAAGGCUCAUCACCUUUGCAGAUGACACAAGCCUUUUAUGCGGGAAUCAAAGAAGAACAUGAGAGGCCAGAACACCGGAUUGAAACCAGCAAUUUGACCUUUAAAAGGUAUAAAGUACUGCUUUUAGGUUUAAAUAGUUAACUGCACAAGCCAGAGACACACAGCUUGGUAGCACACUUCUAGCAAAAAAUCCUUUGCUUUUAAUUGACUGCAAGAUCAAUUUAUCUCCGAGUAGCCCAUGAGAGCUAAUACAUGAAACCCAAACUUAGCUUUACUAAUUGGUACAUAGUAGGGGUGCUACUCUUUUCUGCUGGUGUGAAAUCAUAACUGAAAUUUUGGACUCAGUUUCUAAUAAAAAUUUAGGAAGAACCUUAAUCAAUUGUAACUGCAGAAAAAAAAUCACAUGAUUUUGAGUGAAUUAAAUAUCAUGUUUUCUCAUUUUAUAAGCUAUGGUUAAAAAACUGGAUAUAUCCCAGAAAAAUGAAUUUUUAGAAAUUCGGUGGAACUGUGAUCUGAGAAAAUGGUUGUGAAAAUGGGA